AGUGAACGCUGGCGGUAGGCCUAACACAUGCAAGUCGAACGGCAGCUCAGUAAGAGCUUGCUCUUACGGGUGGCGAGUGGCGGACGGGUGAGGAAUAAAUCGGAAUCUACUUUUUCGUGGGGGAUAACGUAGGGAAACUUACGCUACUACCGCAUACGACCUACGGGUGAAAGCAGGGGAUCUUCGGACCUUGCGCGAUUGAAUGAGCCGAUGUCGGAUUAGCUAGUUGGCGGGGUAACGGCCCACCAAGGCGGCGAUCCGUAGCUGGUCUGAGAGGAUGAUCAGCCACACUGGAACUGAGACACGGUCCAGACUCCUACGGGAGGCAGCAGUGGGGAAUAUUGGACAAUGGGCGCAAGCCUGAUCCAGCCAUACCGCGUGGGUGAAGAAGGCCUUCGGGUUGUAAAGCCCUUUUGUUGGGAAAGAAAUCCAGCCGGCUAAUACCUGGUUGGGAUGACGGUACCCAAAGAAUAAGCACCGGCUAACUUCGUGCCAGCCGCCGCCGUAAUAC
rnacentral:rRNA from 1 species